rnacentral:rRNA from 1 species
UACGGAGGAUGCAAGCGUUAUCCGGAAUGAUUGGGCGUAAAGCGUCCGCAGGUGGCAAUGUAAGUCUGCUGUCAAAGCGUCUGGCUCAACCAGAUAAAGGCAGUGGAAACUACAUAGCUAGAGUAAGGUAGGGGUAGAGGGAAUUCCUGGUGUAGCGGUGAAAUGCGUAGAGACCAGGAAGAACACCGGUGGCGAAAGCGCUCUGCUGGACCUUAACUGACACUGAGGGACGAAAGCUAGGGGAGCGAAUGGG